rnacentral:rRNA from 1 species
CGGCAAACGGGUGCGGAACACGUACACAACCUUCCUAUAAGUGGGGAAUAGCCCAGAGAAAUUUGGAUUAAUACCCCGUAACAUAAUGAUGUGGCAUCACAUUGUUAUUAUAGCUUCGGCGCUUAUUGAUGGGUGUGCGGCUGAUUAGAUAGUUGGCGGGGUAACGGCCCACCAAGUCUACGAUCAGUAGCUGAUGUGAGAGCAUGAUCAGCCACACGGGCACUGAGACACGGGCCCGACUCCUACGGGAGGCAGCAGUAAGGAAUAUUGGACAAUGGGCGAAAGCCUGAUCCAGCCAUGCCGCGUGAAGGAUGAAGGUCCUCGGAUUGUAAACUUCUUUUAUUUGGGACGAAAAAAGGGAAUUCUUUCCCACUUGACGGUACCAGAUGAAUAAGCACCGGCUAACUCCGUGCCAGCAGCCGCGGUAAUACGGAGGGUGCAAGCGUUAUCCGGAUUCACUGGGUUUAAAGGGUGCGUAGGCGGGUAGGUAAGUCAGUGGUGAAAUCCUGGAGCUUAACUCCAGAACUGCCAUUGAUACUAUCUAUCUUGAAUAUUGUGGAGGUAAGCGGAAUAUGUCAUGUAGCGGUGAAAUGCUUAGAUAUGACAUAGAACACCCAUUGCGAAGGCAGCUUACUACACAUAUAUUGACGCUGAGGCACGAAAGCGUGGGGAUCAAACAGGAUUAGAUACCCUGGUAGUCCACGCCCUAAACGAUGAUUACU